GUGAACGAGCGACGCCGCGUGCGGGAUGAAGGGCUUCGGCUUGUAAACCGCGAAAGUUUGGGAAGAAGGCGCAGGUCGUGAACUUGUGCUUGACGGUACCUUACAUAAGCCCCGGCUAACUCCGUGCCAGCAGCCGCGGUAAGACGGAGGGGGCAAGCGUUGUUCGGAAUUAUUGGGCAUAAAGGGCGCGUAGGCGGUCUGUUAAGUCAGAUGUGAAAUACUUCGGCUCAACCGGAGAACUGCAUUUGAUACUGACGGGCUAGAGUGCAGGAGGGGAGAGUGGAAUUCCUGGUGGAGCGGUGAAAUGCGUAGAUAUCAGGAGGAACGCCGGUGGCGAAAGCGACUCUCUGGCCUGCAUCUGACGCUGAGUGCGCGAAAGCCAGGGGAGCAAACGGGAUUAGAUACCCCGGUAGUCCUGGCCCUAAACUAU
rnacentral:rRNA from 1 species